rnacentral:lncRNA from 1 species
UCCCUGUAAAUUCCACCACAGUAACAUUAACAUGAUAUUCAAAGUAAUAAAUAAAUAAAACAGAAAAUGCAUGGAUGUUUAAAGAAAUAUUUUAAUGUUACCUUUUUUACUGCAAUAUCAUGAUCACAAAUGAUUAUUAGAACUACUCAAAAUGGAACCCACAUGGUUCACCAAACUCUCAGUAAAAGUGGACUACUCAAUCAUCACACUAGUAACUUAAACUAAUCACACUUUCUGGUUAUCCAGAGUUUACAAGGGCUCCAAUUUCACUCGCUCAACUUGCCAAACUCACUAAAAUAGAUUAAUUUGUGUUGCUAUGGGAAUCAAAUUCUUUGGAGGUUACUGUUGAAUUUGAAAACAAGAUUGCUUCACAUCAACAGCAACAAAUGGAUGCCCUGCUUCAAGGUUUCCCACAAUUAUUUUAGUGAUACUUUAGUGUUACCUCUAAAUAGACCUACAGACCAUGUUAUUCCUCUUCAGCCAGGAGUAUCAGCCAUUAAUGUGAAGGCAUAUCGUUAUGGCUAUUAUCAGAAAGGUGAGACUAAGAAAUUGGUGGCAAAGAUGCUUGCAGCCGGAAUCAUCAAACCUAGUUCUAGCCCAUUUUCAAGCCUAGUUUUGCUGAAAAAAAGAUGGAAGUUGGAGAUUUUGUGUUAACCAUCGACCUCUCAAUAAAGCCACCAUUCCAUAUAAGUACCGAAUUUGGAGAGUUUCAAAAUGUAUUUCGUAUUUCUCACUUGAACUUUACAAAUAAUUUAUAUGUCUAUCGAUACAAAGAGAAUUGCAAUUAAAAAGUAAACAAAAAAUUACAAAAUAAUUUCCCACAAUUAAGAACCCAUAAUUUGUGCCUAGAAUCAACAAGUAAUUAGGCUAGAAUCAGCGUGUAAAUAGCCUAAAUAAGUCAACAAUCCCUCUCAAGUUGGUACAUAGAUGUCGCACAUACCCGACUUGCAAAUCAAAUUACAAUAAGUCUAUUGUUAAGACUUUUAGUAAACACAUUAGCUAGUUACCAAUUAGAAGUCACAUAAACUAAACUUAAGAUACUAUUUGUUAGUUUUUCUUCAAUGAAAUGUCAAUCAAUCUCAAUAUGCUAUGUUCAGUCAUAUUGAACUAGAUUUUGUGUCUUACAAAUGGCAGAUUUAUUGUCGUAAUAUAAAAUUAUCUUGUACUUCUCGAACAACUUCAGUUCUUCUAAUAAUCUCUAAGUUCACACACGCCUUGAGUUAUCGCUCUGUAUUCAGGUUCAGCACUCGAUCGAACAACAACACUUUGCUUUUUGGCUUUUCAAGAGACAAAAUUUCCUCCCACAACGUCUAGUAACUAGAGAUUGAUUUUUUGUUAUCAGGAGAUCCUACCCAAUUUGCAUUUGUGAAGGCUUCUACCCGAAAAUGACCAUGUUUGGAAAAAAGGUCUUUCUCUGGGGUAGACUUUAAGGGUAAAUUUAAUUGGUGAUUCCUAAACUUAGAGUGUUAUAACAGUGUUGUCCUUAAACUUUAGUUUGCAACGUAAAACUCCCAAACUUUAAUUUAGUUCACAUAAAACUCCUUGUGACUUGUAAUAGCCGGUUUUCAGGUUACAACAUGAUAAAAUUACUUAAAUACCGUUUGCCUACUUUCUCCUUCCCCUUCUUCUCAUUGUUCUCAAAUACUCUCCCUCAAUCUCUUUCUCCUUUAUUAUUAAUCAAUCUUGCAUAAGGCAAGCAACUAAAAACAAAAACGGUCAAAAGGCUCAUAAAUUAAGAAUACAAUUAAUGGGAAACAAAUAUUCAUUUCCUUUAGGAUAUGGUUAUUACACAUGCUCUUGAAUGACCCUCCAUUCCCAUUAAGUGAUUACCCAACCAUGAGAAGCAACCUGAGCAUACAUUUCAAAGCAAAGCAAUAAAAAGGAUUGAUUAUAAAUUUUGGUAGAUCAAUCAUGAUCUCUAGAUCUAAUUCCUUGAAUUAUGUCUCCACUUAGUAAUCAAUAUAUAUAUAUAUAUAUAUAUAUAUAUAUAUCUUGGAAACUUUUUCCCACCAUCACCAGUGCAAAUGCAUAUGAAAAAGCUUAUUCAAACCUCCUCUAACUAUUGCACACAUUAUCUGAUGCAAAUAUAAGCUACUGGGUAGAAGUGAGUCUCUUAUUUGCCAUGGCUUGACGUUGGGAGGAUGUCUAUAAGAGAAGUGUUGGAGAUGAAACAACAUCAUUAGUGUUUGUGAGGUGAGAAGGGAGAAUAUAGAUGUGUAAUGGGAGUAAGCUUUGUCCUACAAAAGUGGUAAUGGAGUUCUAACAACGAAGAGAUGGAUGAGGAUUUGCUUCAUCCAUGGUGUUAGAAAAGAGAUGGAUGAAGGGUGUAUAAGUCUAUUUUUUUAUUAAUUUAAAAUAUACUAAAUUAAAUUUUUAACUUGUAAACCGGUUGUAACUGGUCACAAGGACUUUUAUGUAAGUUAAAUUAAAGUUCAGGGAGUUUUAUAUUACAAAUUAAAGUUUAAGAACGAUACUGUUACAACACUCUAAAUUCAGGGAUAGUCAGUGAAAUUUACCCGAGAUUUUAAGUAUCUCAGGAUGCAAAAAACAGAUUGCAUGUGAGGCUCACAGGGUUCAUGCAUAAACUUACUAACUAAACUAACAACAUAGCUAUAUUUGGUCGAGUGUAUUUGGAGAUAAAUCAAUCUCCCUACCAAUCUUUGGUAUCUACCAAUUUGCUAAACCUGUCAAACCAAGCUCUUGUGGGAGACUGCUUCAACCCCCUUUUUUAGUCUACACACAUUCCUUGUGUCUUUUCAUCAGCAAAUCUAAGAGGAAUAUCAUGUAUACUCUUCCUUUAAAUCUCAUGGAAGAAUGCAUUUUUCACAUUAAAAUACUGCAAGUCCGAGUCCAAGUUGGUUGCACAAAAUAACAAGACUCAUAAAGUUCAUUUUGAGUGAGUCCUUUAGCAAUUAAUCUAGCCUUGAACUUUUCAAUUGUUCUAUCAACUUUGUGUUUCACCAUAAAUACCCAUUUACAGCCAACUAAUUUCUUCCUAGGUGGAAGAGAGGCCAGCUCUCCUAUGUCUCAUUUUUAGCCACAACCUUCAUCUCUUCAAUCAUUACUCUUUUCCAUUUAGGAUAUGCAAAAAAUGAUUUUUCUAUGAAAAGAUAUGAGUUCUUUAAGAUUUGGUGCCUUCCAGUGUCAAUUUGAGUGUGUCUGUGCAUGUGACUUGAUUUUUGUGACAAAUAAUUUGAUCUCUGGCACUCUAAAUAGGGUGAUUCUUGAUUCUAAAUCAAGUUUAAGAAAUCUUCUAUAAAAAUUAUGUUUUGAGUUCUUCACAUUCUAGUCUCCUCAUUAUGUUAAAUUGCACACAAAAUCAGUACUCAGAAUCUGUGUAAAUAUGGAAUAGUCGACUUGUAAGUAAAAUAACUUACUAUCCAUAAAUCCUUUUACUCGUUUUGAGUUGAACGAGAAAGGUGUCUAACACCUUCCCUCUAUCAUACCUAUUAUCUCAAACCUAAACCAGAAAAGAGCCAAAGAAUCAUGAAAAAUAGUGGAGUUUUUGCUACGAUAAGUCACAAUCCACCUCCUUCAUUUGUCUCAAAUUUCAUCUGGAUAGCAACUCCUACUAAAUCCUUCACUCUGCACUAAGCAAAAUAAAAAUUUGUAUCCCAUAAUAGUCUUACGAGAAAAUAAGAUCAAAACCAAUCGGAGUAUCACAAAUUGCCACUUAUAUAAGCUCUAUCUUUCAUGAGUGCAAGAUAACAUUGAAUUCUUACUUUCUUCCUAAGUGGAGCGCUAAAAAAAUGAAAACCUAUUUUUAUAUGUGAGUUAUUGAAUUGAUUGUUAUAGUACUUGCAUGACCAAUAUUUUGUUCGUUUUGAAUUAUUUCCUUUUAGUGCUCUAGUCACAUUAAUUUCAUUUAAUAGUAGCUUUGUUGAUGAGCCUUAAUGUCUUUGUCUUAGUACUUUUGUU